UGUCUACUAAUUAUAGACCUGCAUGAAAGGCAAAAUGAGGGUCCGACUGUCUCUUAUAGUAAAUCAAUUAAACUGAUCUCCUAGUAAAAAAGCUAGGAUUCCCCCAUAAGACCAGAAGACCCUGUGAAGCUUAAACUAAACUAUUAAACCAAAUAAUAACUACUUUCGGUUGGGGCGACCUUGGAAAAAAAAAGAACUUCCAAACACACGACUUUACCUCGAACUUAAACCCAGGCCCACAAGCCAUCAUAACACGACCCAGCAAAGCUGAUAAACGAACCAAGUUACUCCAGGGAUAACAGCGCAAUCUUCUUCAAGAGCCCAUAUCAAAAAGAAGGUUUACGACCUCGAUGUUGGAUCAGGACAUCCUAAUGGCGCA
rnacentral:rRNA from 1 species